GUGACACUAAACACAACAGCAUAUAUUUUAGUAUAGUAUGCAUUAGACAGUUCAUAUAUACAUACAUACAUACAUACAUACAUACAUAUAUAAAAGAAAAACAGAAAAUAUUUUUAAAAAAAAAUAUUUAAAAAGGUUUUUUGUAACCAUUUAAUAUUCUUUUGUACAGUCACACUAAACUUAAUAUGUAUUAUAGUACACAUUGAACAGUUCAUGAAUAGAUGGUAGAUCAUUCGGCCAAAGUAUCAUUUCUACAAUUCAAUUUACAAGCUACUGACCAACUGAUAAAUAAGUUAUUUAUCAAAUUCAUGUAUUAUUUUUUACUCAAAUUUGGUUCUUGUGAGUGACUUAGAGGAAGGCAUUCCACCUACUUUAUAUCAUUAUUGGCAUUAUGGUAACACUUUAACAAAAGGUAAAUUAACUACAUUAAUUAGUAUGAACUAACAAUGAACAAUACUUUUAUAAAUUCUGUAAAAAUAUAUUUCUCAUUGUUAUGUUAGUUAAUGCAUUAACUAAUGUUAACAAAUAGAGUGCAACAGUCAGGUUCUGGAAGUAAAAACUCUCAUUUUCUCUAUAGGGAAUUUGAUUUUGAACGAUAACUUAAACCUUUAAAGACAACCCUACUGUGAGUUAUGAGAUUAUUAAUCCAUGGUAUUAUGUUGAAGCCGUCACAUUAUUUCAGUUUAUCUUUAAUAUAAUCAUAUUUAACAGCAGAAUUCCUAGUGAAAAACUACAUUACCCAUGAUGCUGUACAGAAAAUGACACCAAUCAGUGAGUCGAAAAAAGCAACACAUACUAAAAUAAAAUAGCUCUUUAGCCCCGCCUACUCCCAUGAAGCAUCGCGAAUGAUGUAAUGAGUGGAUCUCUCUAAGCUCUCAAAAUACUUAAAUAUUUGUGAAUAUAUGCAAAUUUUGCAAUAAACUUAAAAUAUAUUGUUUCUAUAUAUAUAUAUAAUCAACAUUUGUACAAAAGAAGUUUUAUAUGUGUCCAUCAUUUUUAAUUUGAUAAUGCUGUUCGCAGUGCUUCAUGGGAGGAACUCUAUAAGACCGUACUGCAAAGUGUUCCCGAUAUGAUUACGCAAAAGGAUAUGUGGACAAAUAUCCUCCUACGCUGAAAAUUGCUUACAGGGAUAGUAUCCUGGUAACUCUUUCUGAGAAAAUAACUGUAUAUAGAUUUCAUAGGGUGUGUGUUGUUAUUCAUUACUCUUCCCUUCAGUUUCAGUCCCACACAUCAGGUCUGCACCUUAUCUUUUAAAACAGCCAUAUUCUUCCUGUUCUCCAGAGAGGUGGGACACAGCGUGCCUGUGCAUGGCGGUGUUCUUGCACAGUGUGGAGGAGGACAGACGAACUCUACACAUGCAUUGUAGCACCGUCGCUCUGAGCCUCAGGGCUUUUCCUGAAGUUACCAUGGAAACGCAGCCCUCUGAGGGUAAACCACCCGUGAAUGGACUUGUGAGGAGGGACAGUGUAUACUGCUUAUGUCAAAACUCAGACGCAGAUUUACCAACAGACGCAGCUGUACAAACAGCACUCUACAAGUCUGUAAAUAUCAGUUGCUAUGGGACUCACCAGAUGAAGUCGCGGCAGUGCGAGCAGUAGGUGGGCUGUCUCAGAAGAGCCAUGCAGAGGCAGCGAUCAUUAAACCAAGGGGCAUGACUGUGACAAAGGCACCAUAUUGGAAAGCUGUCAGACGCUCUCACUAGAAAGGAAACAAGGCCACAGGGGUGGAGCUCCACUCUUUCUCUCUUUUCUUCUCAUUCUCUCUGUGGAGCAUGAGAACUGUGAUCACUCCUGAGUAUUCCCUUAUGUCAAUGUAUCUGUCUGCUGCAGUCACACUUCUCAGCCCUGAGAGAAAGAGAAGGAGAGAGACUGGACUUGGAGUCACAAAAUGACAAAGCAAGUUGUGCCAAACUGGCAGGCCGACGGUCAUCUCCUGUUAUUAAUAAAGCCAUUGUAUAUGUG